rnacentral:lncRNA from 1 species
UUUUUUUUUUAAAUUAAAAUUUGCAUAGUUUUUUUUUUUUUGCAUUCUAAACUAUACAAACAUAUUUAAUAUUUCCUUCAUCUGAAAAAAAAAUACUACAACAUCAAAUUUCUCAUAAAGUCUUCAAUAACUACUUUUUAUAGUCCAUGUAAGUAGCAACACUAACUCCCUAAGUUUAAACAUAGAACAUACAAGUUUUAAUGAGUAAAAAAUAAUAAUCAUUUACUUAUAAAUUACUCAAAUACAAACAAGCUUAAUUAUAACAGUUUAGCACUUGCAUAACCUUGAUCAAACUAACUCCUAACAAUGAAAAAAUGUACUACAUGAAUUCUCAAAUUAAAAUUCAGUAUCAUGUAACUGUACAAACAAAUAUAAACCAAAAAGCAAAUGGAGACUAUGUUUUCAGCUUACAUACGGUAGUAUUGGCACUUAGAACAUUUAUACCGAGCCAGCAAGCUUGCCCUUCAGAAACUAAAUCCUUAAUGCUUAUAAUUAUACACAUUGCAUGUUUUGCAAAGCAGUUCUUGCCUUGCAACUAGCCUUACCAAUGUAGUUUCUAUUAAAUCAAUACUUAUUGGAGCCUCAGUAUCACCAUUUUCAUUGGUUAGCUACAAAGAACAGAAACUAAAAAUUCAAAUCAAAAGGUAAAGCUAAACAAAUUAGCUUUUAAAGUAAAUGAAAAAAAGUGGAGCCUAAAAAAAUCUCAAGUAUCAUCAUUUACACUGAUUAGUUCAAUCUCGAUUUUAUGUUUACAGGCUCUUUAUUUAAGACAUGAAACUAGAAAACUUCUUCUUUUGUUGUGAACAAGAAUAAAUCUAAAAAUUCUGUCAAUCUUAUAUGGAUAAGCAAGAGGGGGAAAAAAACUCAAUUACCACAUUUUCAUAGGAACUUCAUUGCUAUAUUUAAGUUACUUGUUUUAGAGAGAGGAUGAACAAACAUAAAAUUCCCACAAUCCCACAUGCAACAUUUCUCGUAAAUAUGAUAACUUGGCUUACUAUAAUAUUGGAUACUCAACAAAGACUAGUUGAAAAAAUUACAUUAGCGACAGAGAUCAUGCUCACUGUACAACAACCAUAAUUUCAGCCAUCAAGAAGAAUACACAACUUGAUCAAGUAGCCACUGAUAACAUUUUCCUUUCACUUCCUAACAAUUAUCUUCAAACUAGCAUAUGAAUUCAGGCCAUGCUAAUUCUAAUUCUUAUUUUAUAAUGGAAGAGUAUAAUGAUCACAUUAAUCUAAUUCUACUACCAUGGAAAAUAAAGAGAAAAGAAAUAAUCAUAAAAAUUGGAUAAGCAGACAGUCAUAAUCUAGAUGCAAAACUAGUCAACAGUGGAAAUAAAUCAUCAUAUAAGGAAAUCUCAAGCACAGAACCAACCUAGCGGAUCAGAUUUCCUUUAAAGCACACUUGUAGUGCACAAAAGAGCAAAUUUCAUCUCACAAACAAAUAAGUAAAUAAUUUGUACCUAUUGUUAUUGCAGCAAUCUAACCUAGCCAUAUUGAGAUACUAAUUAAUAAAUGGAGAAGCAAAUUUAGUCUGAAAUAAUUAACUUAAUUGCACUUGACACGUAUUUUUUUCCUCAAAACCUUGAAGUAUUAUAAUAUUCCACCUAAGAUCAUUGUAAAGCUCAGCACAAUGAAGAAGAACUAAAAAUGGAUAGUAAUAUAGUAUAUCUACAAGACAAAAUAAUUAAAUGCUAAUAAGUAGGAAAUAAAUCAUUUGUGGGAUAAGAUGAAAACCUCUCGUAGUGUAUCAAUGAAAGAUUGAUAAUUUAUUAUUUAAUUAACUGACAUAGGUAGCAUUUCAGGAGUCUAUUUUGAUUUAAUGUGCAUGGAUGCCUAUCAUUCUAUCUAAAGAACUGGAAUAACAUCAGAGAUAUAAGGGUAUAGGAACAAAAUCUUAGAUUGUUAAAUUUCUUAUUAGAAAAAAAAAAGACAACAAGAACAUCUCAGUUUGUUUCCAAGGGGGCCCUCAGAAAUUUGCUCAAGAAUAAAUUUAAAAGAAAUGAAUAAUUAAUAAUUAUUAUGAGGACAUAUUUAGAAUGUCAAGCUACUACAUAAGUUAAAUUACCUUAUCACAAAGAAUGCAAACUUUUUCAAGGUUUACCUCUUGGGAAGUUUGGAAGACUUCCAAGAGAUAUAAUUUGAUUUCCACAACAACAUAUAGUUGCUGCAAAACUGAUAAAUUUUAUUUCAUUAUAACUUCAACAUUCUUUUAUGACAAAUGCGAGAUAAACAAAACAAGACAAAUUUGUAAGGACUAGCAAUUCUCUAGAGAUUCAAAUCUUGGCCCUUUAAAUGUUUACACAUGAAUAUAUUGAAGAACUAUAAUUUCAAAGGAAAAGAAAUUGAACAAAGAAUUAAAAAUUUAACAAAUAGAAUUUGACAAUCCAACAUUCAGAAAUUGAGUUUGUGCAAAUAAAUUUGAUCCAAAAGAUUCAACCAUAUCUUUGCAACAUGUUAUAACUGAUUUUUUAAAUAUAUUUUUUCAUAGCAAAUACUUGUGGUUUUAGCAAAAUUAAGUACAAAAAUAUAUUUAAAUCAAAUGGUGGGUGGAUUGAAAUAGAAAUUCAAAAGAUUAAAAAAAUAUAUAGCUUAUUCAAGACAAGAACACAAUGUAAAUGGUGCUAAAAUUUGUUACCUCUAAGAUUACAACUAAUAAAUAGAUUGUAAAGGAGAAGAAGUUGUUACUUAUUCAUUGGUUUCAAUUAUAGCUAUAUGAAGUAAAUUCAAGGUCCAUCUCGUCUUUGCACAUUUCCAAAACUAAUAAAGAUGUAAGCCUUUCCAUUUAGCACUCCAUACAGACCACGAGGGAUAUGAAAAUAUAUCAUCAUCAUCAAAUAAAAAAAUACUAAUAAUUUUACCAAAUGUAAAUAAGAAAAGAUAUUAUAAAAAAUAAAUAUUCAACUAAUUAAUCUUCAAUUAUACCGGUUUAUUAAAAAAAAAAAAGGGAAUUACUUUGGACAUAAGAAUAAACAGCAAAACAAAUAAAAAAUUACAGGCAAAAAACAGCACCAAGAAGUUCUAGGCAAUAAAGCAUGACGACAUCCAAAAAUCCAGGUGUUGGUUUUUAACAAUAAACAAUAGCAUGAAAGCACCUAGAAAAUUUUUGGGUGCUAUCCAGCUACUGCACUCAGGUUAAAAACAACAUCGCCUACUAAUUUUAACAGCAACCAAAGCAUAGCACAACCAGAAAAUUUUUGGGUGCUGACCAACUGCUGUAUUUUUGUUAAAGACAGCACAAGUUGCUAUUUUUAAUAGCAAACAACAGCAUGACAACACCCAGAAAUUUUUUUGAGUGUUGUACAGUUACUGCAUUUAGGUUAAAAAUAGCAGGCGAUGUUGUUUUUAAUAGCAAACAGAGCAUAGCACACCUAGAAAAUUUUUGGGUGCUGACCAGCUGUUAUAUUUGCGUUAAAACCUAAUGCUGUUUUUAACAACGAACAGCAGCAUGACAGCAUCCAAAAACUUUUUUGGGUGCUGACAGGCUGCUGUAUUUGGGUUAAAAACAACAGCAUGACUUUUGAAAUGAAAUGAAAAUAGUUUUUCAAGUAUGUAGGCGAGUCUCCAAAUUCAAGCAGCAAUCAAAUCCUCUGCAAUAUAACAUGAUUAAUCCUCCCACAAGUCAUUGGCUAAUGUGUAUACAAUUACAUAUAUAAAGAUUGAAGGGGAAAGCUUGCGAACUCAAACAACAGAUGUAUAAAAAUUAGAGCAGCAAUGUCCAAAUCGAAGAUUGUGAAUAAUUUGCCAGCAUACAUGUGAUUAGCCACACUCGAGAACAAAACUCAUGUCAUUUUAUAGUUCUAGGGUUCAGUCAUUUCAAAAAAUUAGUUCAUUUAAGAGGAGAAACUUUAGAAUAAAAUCCUUUUCCCAAUACAGUACAACAACCACUAUUAGGGUUUUUAACUACACAUUUAGGAGUCAAUUUUUUCAAGAAUUUUUACUAAAAUUGAUGUGCAAGAGAAGAUAAUAACAAAAAUUACCUGUUUUAAUCGUUCAAUCGGGCUUAAUCAACUGUGGGUUCUUAGUUAGGGUUUUGCAAUUCAAUGGCGGCAACACAUGCGCUCGGUGGGUACUUCGUAUGGUUCUCAAUGAGGGCCAAAUCGAUGGCAAAAGACGAGACAAUGUCUGCAUUAGUUUGUUGCCCCGCAAGGAUUUUAAUUAAAAAAGGAGAGUGAUGAGAGUAAGAGAUGAGAAUGAGAGUGCCAUCACUUAGGAAAACUCGGUGCGGAACCAUCA